rnacentral:siRNA from 1 species
AUAUGCAAUUGAAAACGUGUAGGU